AGUGAACGCUGGCGGUAGGCCUAACACAUGCAAGUCGAACGGCAGCACAGUAAGAGCUUGCUCUUACGGGUGGCGAGUGGCGGACGGGUGAGGAAUACAUCGGAAUCUACUUUUUCGUGGGGGAUAACGUAGGGAAACUUACGCUAAUACCGCAUACGACCUACGGGUGAAAGCAGGGGAUCUUCGGACCUUGCGCGAUUGAAUGAGCCGAUGUCGGAUUAGCUAGUUGGCGGGGUAAAGGCCCACCAAGGCGACGAUCCGUAGCUGAUCUGAGAGGAUGAUCAGCCACACUGGAACUGAGACACGGUCCAGACUCCUACGGGAGGCAGCAGUGGGGAAUCUUGGACAAUGGGCGCAAGCCUGAUCCAGCCAUACCGCGUGGGUGAAGAAGGCCUUCGGGUUGUAAAGCCCUUUUGUUGGGAAAGAAAAGCAGCAGGUUAAUCCGCCGCUGUUCUGACGGUACCCAAAGAAUAAGCACCGGCUAACUUCGUG
rnacentral:rRNA from 1 species